UGGGUGGAGUUAAAGUGGCAUAUUUUAAAACACACCAUUGAUCUGUGUCUCUAUCGCUCCUAUAUCAACUUAAAAUCCGAACGGCAUCCUGUUUAAUUACUUAUAUUAAGACAGAUGACUUUUGUUCGUGUACAACU
rnacentral:snoRNA from 1 species